UAGUAAUCGCGGAUCAGCAUGCCGCGGUGAAUACGUUCCCGGGCCUUGUACACACCGCCCGUCACACCAUGGGAGUUGGGAGCGCCCGAAGCCGGUGAGGUAACCGAGAGGAGCCAGCCGUCGAAGGUGAGACCAAUGACUGGGGUGAAGUCGUAACAAGGUACC
rnacentral:rRNA from 1 species